GCUCUCGUCGUUCAAUGGAUAGGACAUUGGUUUGCGGAACCGAAGAUCUAAGUUCGAUUCUUAGCGAGAGCACAA
rnacentral:tRNA from 1 species